rnacentral:lncRNA from 10 species
UUCUCAUCCACGGAAUGGGACGAUGUAAUAUGUACGCUUAUUUAAAAAGAAAUUGCUACUCUGACCUUCGUCUCUUUCUUCUUCCCAUGAGCUAAAACGUAGAUACGUCCGUGACCCAACUUCAACCAACCACGCAACGUCAAUGACCCAGGGGAUGCUGGAGCAACAGGAAGGAAGGAAUUGAUUGAACAAUCACGUGGAGCAAAGCCACGUUGUUAUUUAGGGCUACUACUUAAAUCAGAGAUCAUCUCUGUCUUCUUUAAGCCACUUCAGUUUGGAGGCUUUUUGUUCUAACAGAUUUUCUAUGCAGGUACAGUCACAUUUAUGUCUUUUAAUAAUAGAGUUCAUCCAUCAUACAAGAUUGAUGAUC